ACGGAAGGCAGCAGUGGGGAAUAUUGCACAAUGGGGGAAACCCUGAUGCAGCGACGCCGCGUGAGCGAAGAAGUAUUUCGGUAUGUAAAGCUCUAUCAGCAGGGAAGAAAAUGACGGUACCUGACUAAGAAGCACCGGCUAAAUACGUGCCAGCAGCCGCGGUAAUACGUAUGGUGCAAGCGUUAUCCGGAUUUACUGGGUGUAAAGGGAGCGUAGACGGCUGUGUAAGUCUGAAGUGAAAGCCCGGGGCUCAACCCCGGGACUGCUUUGGAAACUAUGCAGCUAGAGUGUCGGAGAGGUAAGUGGAAUUCCCAGUGUAGCGGUGAAAUGCGUAGAUAUUGGGAGGAACACCAGUGGCGAAGGCGGCUUACUGGACGAUGACUGACGUUGAGGCUCGAAAGCGUGGGGAGCAAACAGGAUUAGAUACCCUGGUA
rnacentral:rRNA from 2 species